UCUAAAAUGGCAGAUUAGUGCAAUGAAAUUAAAAUUCAUUUAUAAAAUUAUUUUUUUUUAGAA
rnacentral:tRNA from 1 species